rnacentral:lncRNA from 1 species
CAUUGAGUGGGCCGUCUAAAGGGUGCUCAGAGAAAAAGUCUGCUAUUUGGUUUGUAAUUGCGGCCCUAGGCUUGAUGGGAGACGGUACCAGGAACUCAUCGCUAAGUUCCUCUUGCCUAAAAAGACAACUGUGAGCCUUGGUAACUUUGAUGUCAAGGCGAGAGAACAGGAAGAAGGAAAUAACAGCAAAACUGGCAAGGAAAGCAAUGUGAGGCUGAGCCACCGAAAGACAAUUGAAGAGUAUCCACCUGGGGACCAGAGAGUAUUUGAAAGCAAGGCCAGUCAGUUAGUUGACCAAAUGAGCAGAAAUAUGACUGAAAAGUUCUGCUGAGCUGGAUGUGGCAAAACUAUGAAACUUAUCUACAUCACUGUGUUUUCGUCUCUGGUGACUUGUGUUCAAAUAUUGGGACAAACCAAUAGAGAGUAACUGUACUGUUGUUUUCU